GCACUGCUGAUGAGUCCCAAACAGGACCAAACAGUUGUCCAGUGC
rnacentral:hammerhead_ribozyme from 1 species